rnacentral:rRNA from 1 species
CAUGCAGUCGAACGGUAGCACAGAGAGCUUGCUCUCGGGUGACGAGUGGCGGACGGGUGAGUAAUGUCUGGGAAACUGCCUGAUGGAGGGGGAUAACUACUGGAAACGGUAGCUAAUACCGCAUAACGUCGCAAGACCAAAGAGGGGGACCUUCGGGCCUCUUGCCAUCAGAUGUGCCCAGAUGGGAUUAGCUAGUAGGUGGGGUAAUGGCUCACCUAGGCGACGAUCCCUAGCUGGUCUGAGAGGAUGACCAGCCACACUGGAACUGAGACACGGUCCAGACUCCUACGGGAGGCAGCAGUGGGGAAUAUUGCACAAUGGGCGCAAGCCUGAUGCAGCCAUGCCGCGUGUAUGAAGAAGGCCUUCGGGUUGUAAAGUACUUUCAGCGAGGAGGAAGGCAUUAAGGUUAAUAACCUUGGUGAUUGACGUUACUCGCAGAAGAAGCACCGGCUAACUCCGUGCCAGCAGCCGCGGUAAUACGGAGGGUGCAAGCGUUAAUCGGAAUUACUGGGCGUAAAGCGCACGCAGGCGGUCUGUCAAGUCGGAUGUGAAAUCCCCGGGCUCAACCUGGGAACUGCAUUCGAAACUGGCAGGCUAGAGUCUUGUAG